rnacentral:rRNA from 1 species
AGUCGAGCGGUAGAGAGAAGCUUGCUUCUCUUGAGAGCGGCGGACGGGUGAGUAAUGCCUAGGAAUCUGCCUGGUAGUGGGGGAUAACGUUCGGAAACGGACGCUAAUACCGCAUACGUCCUACGGGAGAAAGCAGGGGACCUUCGGGCCUUGCGCUAUCAGAUGAGCCUAGGUCGGAUUAGCUAGUUGGUGGGGUAAUGGCUCACCAAGGCGACGAUCCGUAACUGGUCUGAGAGGAUGAUCAGUCACACUGGAACUGAGACACGGUCCAGACUCCUACGGGAGGCAGCAGUGGGGAAUAUUGGACAAUGGGCGAAAGCCUGAUCCAGCCAUGCCGCGUGUGUGAAGAAGGUCUUCGGAUUGUAAAGCACUUUAAGUUGGGAGGAAGGGCAGUAAAUUAAUACUUUGCUGUUUUGACGUUACCGACAGAAUAAGCACCGGCUAACUCUGUGCCAGCAGCCGCGGUAAUACAGAGGGUGCAAGCGUUAAUCGGAAUUACUGGGCGUAAAGCGCGCGUAGGUGGUUCGUUAAGUUGGAUGUGAAAUCCCCGGGCUCAACCUGGGAACUGCAUUCAAAACUGACGAGCUAGAGUAUGGUAGAGGGUGGUGGAAUUUCCUGUGUAGCGGUGAAAUGCGUAGAUAUAGGAAGGAACACCAGUGGCGAAGGCGACCACCUGGACUGAUACUGACACUGAGGUGCGAAAGCGUGGGGAGCAAACAGGAUUAGAUACCCUGGUAGUCCACGCCGUAAACGAUGUCAACUAGCCGUUGGGAGCCUUGAGCUCUUAGUGGCGCAGCUAACGCAUUAAGUUGACCGCCUGGGGAGUACGGCCGCAAGGUUAAAACUCAAAUGAAUUUGACGGGGGCCCGCACAAGCGGUGGAGCAUGGGGUUAAAUUCGAAGCUACGCGAAGAACCUUACCAGGCCUUGACAUUCAAUGAACUUUCUAGAGAUAAAAUUGGUGGCUUUCGGGAACAUUGAAACAGGUGCUGCAA